rnacentral:rRNA from 1 species
AGGACGAACGCUGGCGGCGUGCUUAACACAUGCAAGUCACGGGGGCCCGCAAGGGCAACCGGCGAACGGGUGCGUAACACGUGAGCAACCUGCCGAUCUGUGGGGGAUAGCCGGGCUAACGCCCGGGUAAUACCGCAUACGGUCAUUUAGGGGAGUCCCUGAAUGAAGAAACCUCCGGGGCAGAUCGAGGGGCUCGCGGCCUAUCAGCUAGUUGGGGGGGUAAUGGCCCACCAAGGCGACGACGGGUAGC